UGCAACUAGAGAAAGCCCGCACGCAGCAACGAAGACCCAGUGCAGCCAAAAAUAAAUAAAUAAAAUAAAUAAUUUUUUUUAAAAAAUCCUCAGGUUCAGCAUCCCCAUCACACUCACCUCCCAGUUGGGUCUCUUUGCUUCAGAGAGAGAGAGAGCAGAGUGAGAGAGCCUAACGGGGCCAAGGAGCAAAGGCUCGAACGUUUGGGAAAGACAGACAGUGGGGCUUCCCGCUGGCCCCCAAAGAGCUGAAGCACCCAGCACCCUGUCUUCUGCUUGCUCACCCAGGCUCACCCGGAAUUCAUAGCCAAUAACAGACUGGGCUCGCCCUCUGCCCAGUGCUGGGGUGGGGGGCGGGGCUUGGCUGGAUACCUAUGAAGUCUCCUACCUUGGAAUGUGCCCUCACCCCCUCCGCGGUGUAAAUUCCCAAUCUGUCAGAGUCUACAUCUCCAGCUCGGGCCCAGGGUCGGGAGAGGAGGGGGAGCCAGCAGCUGUGGGAACAUCUGGUCCAGCACGGGGAGCAGAGGAGAACAGAACAGGGUCAGCGCAGGGCUGACGGGAGGGGAGACAAAACCAAGUGGCAGGCGGGCACCAAAAUGACGCUUACGAGCAACGCAACACUGCAGACAGUGGCUGGCGGGAAGGUGCUCGCUGCACGGCGGUCAGAAGAGCUGGGUCUGUCCCGCCUUAGAUAGAAAUUCACCGAGAGGCUCCCUGAUGCUCGCUCAGCCUCCAUGUCCCCGGCUGUGAAGGGAAGGGGGCUGCACGGUCUCUAAGGUCUCUUCCAGUUGUUUGUUCGUUUUGUUUCGUCUUGUUUUUAAAUAAAGGAAGGCCUCCAAGUACUGUCCUCAAGAAAACUUGACAGUGACACAUGAUCGAGCACCUACUGUGUGCUGGGCACUUUCCUAGGGACUGGCUGCGUCCUGGAAAAGAAGAUGGGGGCCUCUGCUCCUGGGGUGGGUGAUGUUGCAGGUUAUAUUUAACUCUUACCAUCAGGCUGUCCCCAUCUUACAGACACGGAAACAGACUCAGAGUGAUGACUGCCCAAGGUCACCUGGCCAGAGUCAGGGGCCAGACUCCAGGCACGUUUUCUGGCCCCAAGGGGGCGCUCUUUCCACCCCACCCCGGUCACUUGCCAUCUGUGCGUGUUACCCCUCCGAGGCUUGGAGGGCUCAGCCAGGCAGGGAGGUAAUGUGAACACACAUCACCCCCAGGCUCAGACCGAGGCCACGUCAUUAGGGAUUUGGUUAAUGUCCCAACAAACCGGGGAGAGGGUCCAGGUCUGGAAUGCAGAGGCCAUGAUGCCUCACCAGUGCUCCCUCCAGAACAACUGGCUGCCUCUGCCCUAAUAAGGCCACAAGGCAUUCGGAAGAGCAGGACUGAUUCAUCCCUUUUCUGAAUCCAAAUCCGGAGACGCUGUGAUUCCCUGGAUCUCUCAGCUCACAAACAUCACUGGACCCCCAGGAACACAGUGAUGAGGGAGACAGACAAGUUCCCUGUGCUGGGGAGGAGCGUCCGUCCUCAUGCAGCUAGACAGAUCCGGGGGAAAACCUAGACAGUGCUGCAUACCCAGGAGAAAAUAAGGCAGGUGUGUGACGGCAACGAGGAGGUGCUGGGGGCCAGGUGACUUGGAGCUGAGAGGCCCGGCACGAGCCUGGCGGGAAGAGCCAUCCCAGCAGAGGGGGAGCACGUGAGCCCCGGCCCGGCCCAGAGCAACUGGGUAUUCGGAGGAGGAACUGCCGGGCUUCACUUGUAUCCACAGACCGCUGCAAAGCCUCUGGAGGGUCUCAGGCAGGAGAGUGAGACCAGCAGCGUUCUUACAGCAUCACUCUGGCCGCCAGGAGGACAGGUGCAGGAAGGCACUGAGGACACGACUGUGCAGGACAAGAGAGAAGUCGUGGCAGCUGGGCACAGGGCAGUGGGCAGCGACGGAGGAGGGGAGAGUGGGGGGGAGCCCGCUUCUGGGUGCCUCCCUCACCCCAGUCUCACGCCCCCUACCCCCGCACUCACCCUCCUUAGUGACUCACAUCAGGGACUCAGGGACGCAGAUGCAGGAGAAAGGUGCAGGCAAGUGUAGAAAGCAAAGGAGAGCUUCGAUCAGGCAUCCUAUCCGACACCCCCGGCGUAGUGGGGUCUCCGGAGGCCACAGAGGCAGUGUCUGCGGCGCCCACCGAGGUGGCCGACAGCUCAGCAGGUGUCUGGGCAUGAACACGUGGAGGCAGGCCACGUGCAGAAGCUGGGGUUCAGCGCCUGGCAUCAGGGUGCAUGCGUGAGAUAAAUAUUAAACCCCCUCCAGAUCUGUAACACCUGAUUCUUCACAACAGCAAGAUCCUAAGACGGGGAAACCAGCCCCAGUCAUCCUCCCUCUUCGCCUCCACGCAGGGCACUGGGCUCCAGACCGAGUCAGGCCUGGUCCUGCUCCUGGAGAGCUCGCAGUCUGAUGGGGGAGGCGCACGGCUCAACAGUGACGUCAGGGAAGCAGGCGAUCCCAGGGAGGUGUCUGGGGGCCUAAAGGAAGGGGGAGCCGCCAUCUGGCCUUCUGCUCUUCCACUCAUCCCUCCAGGUAACAGUAACAAUAACAACCGAGACUGCCACUCGAGCGCCUCCUCUGGGCCAGGCACUGUUCCUGAUGGAAGAACCCAGCGCACCUCUGACUCCCCUAGAGGCUCCCAGGUGAUGCCAGUGUGCAGCCAGCCGCGAGCCCCUGGCCUGCAGCACAGCUUUUUAUAAGGAUUCAUGAGAGGACAGAUGCCGAGUGCCUGGCGUAUGGCUGGACCACAGUAAAUGGUGCCUUUCCUGACAGUACGCGGGCCUCUCACUGUUGCGGCCUCUCCCAUUGCG